AUUGAACGCUGGCGGCAGGCCUAACACAUGCAAGUCGAGCGCGAAAGGCCUUCGGGCUGAGUAGAGCGGCGGACGGGUGAGUAACGCGUAGGAAUCUACCUGGUAGUGGGGGACGAACUUGGGGAAACUCAAGCUAAUACCGCAUACGCCCUAUGGGGGAAAGUGGGGACCUUCGGGCCUCACGCUAUCGAGAUGAGCCUGCGUAGGAUUAGCUAGUUGGUGAGGUAAAGGCUCACCAAGGCGACGAUCCUUAGCUGGUCUGAGAGGAUGAUCAGCCACACUGGGACUGAGACACGGCCCAGACUCCUACGGGAGGCAGCAGUGGGGAAUAUUGCGCAAUGGGGGCGAACCCUGACGCAGCCAGUGCCGCGUGUGUGAAGAAGGCCUCGG
rnacentral:rRNA from 1 species